rnacentral:lncRNA from 1 species
CUCUGAGGAGCUAUCAAAAACUGCUUGCCAUCUUUCCAAAUCAUCUCUGUCUGCAGUGACCAUGUCUUAAUCCUGAAGGAAAACAAGGACAAACCUCUUUUGGCAGUUGGGCCUGAAGCCCCAGAACUUAUGCUGGUCCUGGCACCAAUGAGGACAGAAAUGAUUGAGCACAUGAAUUUGGUAUUGAGUUUGACAUUAUUGUGCUUCAUUUUUUGUGGGCCUGGGAUGUUUUCUACGUAAUUCGUUUAUCAUUUAUUGUUUAAGGUGUCUGCAUACUCAAAAUAUCUUUUUAAUGUCCUCCGCCUAUACAUGACAUAAAUACUUUAUUAACUUUGUUUAAAAAAUCUUAUCACAGUGCCAUCCAACAGGAAUAUAAUGUGAGCCAUGUGUAAUUUAAGAUUUACUAAUAGCCAUAUUAAAAAAGGAAGAAGAAACUGGUGAAAUUAAUUUUUAAUAAUGUUUUAUUUAGCUAUAUUCAAAACAUUAUCAUUUUAACAUGCAAAUAUAAAUUUAUUAAUAUCUCUUACAUUAUUUUUUCUAGUAACUUUUUAAAAUCUAGUUGGUAUUUUAUAUUUAAUGCACAUUUUAAUUCAGCCCUCAAACUUAAUUGCAGACCAUUGUAUUUCAGUGCUCAAUGAGCACAUGUGGCCACCGUGUCAGCACAUUUCAAUAGUUCGCAGGUCAAUGUAGAGGACAUUUUCCCCCCACUUAGCAUUUCAUCCCUGUUAUUAUGCCCACUGAGUGCCGUAGUAUGGAAAAAACAUGUGUAGCCUAGUAGCACAAAUGUAAACUGGGGUGACUAACAUCCUAGUUUGCCUGAAGUGGAGAAGUUUUCUGGGACAAAAGACUUGCAAUGUUAAAACCAGGACAGUCCUGAUAAAGCAGAAUGGUUGGUAUCCCGCAAGUAAACUAUGUUGGUCCAAACAAUAUAUCCCCUCCAUCACUGUGAUUUGUUUUGACCUAAAGCAUAGAAACCUGGCUGCCAAUUAUGGGAUUUUUUUGGGAAGCCACUGGGAGAAAGAACCUUACUUUCUGCUGUGGUUAUUAUCAGCUAACCUUUAUAUCAUGUGGGGAGAACCUGUUUGAAAGUAUUACCUACUUUGGAGGAAAUCACAAUGAGAAAGAAACUGAGUUUUGGUGACUUAUUUUUCAGUUCUUGGACACUGUCGUGUCUGAACCUAUCCUAUUUUUGGACUUUUCAGUGAAUUAAUACAUUCUUUACACCUGUCUCCAUAUUGUUUGUUUAAACAGUUAAGGUUGCAUUUCCAUCAUGUGAAACUGGGAUAGUUCUAACUAAUAGGUUUAGAAAAAAAAAAAAAAAAGAGUACAAGAAAUCUAGUUGGAAUUCUUUAGGUUCAUAAGAAACAUAAUCAGGCUGUCUAUUUUAUUUUAACACAGCCUCCUCAAGCUACUGUUGAGUAUGUAUGUGGUGCUGCCUAGGAACAGUAGGUAUUUUUGUGGAGCAAGGGAUUGCAGACGGUGAAGUAGCUGCAUACUGGCAAUAACCUAUGAAUCUGUGGGGAUUCUGAAGAGUAGGAAGCAAUGAGACCUGCUGUCUUUCCUUUAUUGUCCCUUCCUCUAUUGCUCUCAGACUGUUGUGCUUUGCUUGUGUUGUGGGUGUUUUGCUCUGCCAUAAUGGCUCUCAUGAUGAACUAUAAGCUUCAUUCUAGGUCCUGGGACAAUCUACAGUUCAUGAGAUUCUCACCUAUGGGUUAGGGACCCUUGGAGAUUUGCAGAGUUGCAAAGUCAAGCACCAAUUUAUUCUUUCUUAAUCAAUGGAUACUAAAAGUGCAAUCAUUAGUACAUAGAAGGCUUGUAACAAUUUUUGAUGGUUUCAGAAGAAGAUUGAGUAAGCAUUCAAUAGAUAGAUGCUACUGAGACACUAAUAUGUAGCUUGACAUGGUUAAAUGCCUUAUGUGAAGCACUUAACAAGUGUUAAAACAUCACAUUUAAACUUCACAACAAUCUUAUUGCUGGCAUUAUUAUUCUUAUUGCUUUGAAAUAAAAAAAAAUAGGCUGGGCAUGAAGGCUCAUGUUUGUAACCCCAGCACUUUGGGAGGCUGAGGCAGGAGGAUUACUUGAACCUAGGGGUUCAAGGUCAGUCUGGGAAGCAUGGAGAGACCUCAUCUCUAUGAAAAGUUACAAAUAAAAAAAAAAUAGCUAGAUGUGAUGGUGUGUGCCUGUAGUCCUAGCUACUCGGGAGGCUGUGGUGGGAGAAUCACUUGAGCUCAGAAAUUCAAGGCUUUAAUGAAGCCAUUUCUACUCUAGCCUGAGUAACAGAGCAAGACCCUGCCUCAAAAGAAAAAAAAUUGAAUUAUUACAUUUUCUUUAUUCGUUACUCAUUUAACAAACUUCAUUUUAUACUAUUAUAUUCUCAAUGAAUUUAACAUCUAGUGGAGAAAGUAGGUGUACAAAAGUGAUUAUAAUGCUGUGUGUGAGCAUAUUAACAAAUACAGAGGGGAAGGAGAGGAAGGGUCUCCCAUAGCAGAUGUAGGUGCAGGGUACAGAGCAUGGGAUCACCAGAAAACUCCCUGGAAGCACGGUGCUUGAGCCAAACCUGACACAUCAAAGUAGAUCUGCACUAUUGCAACAGUCUAGUACAAAAUAACUUUUUCAGGAGAGAGUUUCAUUAUCUUGCAAUGACAAAUUUUAGUUUGUUUUUCUGCAUCAUCGUGACAUAAGUGACAGGAUUCUGAUUUGUAAAGCAAAAGAGUUGGAUUCUUAACCCUGAAUUUACUACUAAUGAGGCCCUUGGGCAAAAUCUCUCAAACAGUUGGGGCUAGAGUUUUCUCUCCAACGAAGUAAGGUAGGAUCAGCAAUUCAUUCAUAACAGCAUCUCUUCCAAACUCCACACCCUGAAGGCUUCAAGUUGUGCCCUUCAUUUGCACCUUUAUUGUCCUUCUAGUAAGAGUCAUUACCUGGAAAUCACAGUUCAGAAGCAAGGCAUCACAGUUAGGUGUAAAGGGUGCUUAGCUUACAAAGAAAAAGCUUCGACUAAUUUAAUUUUUACCAAUAUCAUAAAAUCACCCCAUGAUAAUUUCAGGGUGUCUUCACUCAAGUAUAGCCUAGGACAGGUAGUGAAGAUGUGGUAAAUGAUGUUAAUGGCAGCAGAGAGACCGGGUUUCACUGAAUGCCUUGAUCAAAGCAUUACUAGAUUCAUGGUUAAAGAGUAAUGAGUUUCAUCAGAUAUUUAGUAAAUGUCCCUUAAAGUUCCUUUUACAAAAGCAAAACCAAACAACGCAACAACAAAACAAUCCCACACAUUUCUAUAGAUGUAAUUUGAAACACAUCAAGUUAUUAAUCUUGGAAUCUGGAUUUUCCAAGAAAUCAGCUUUCUUGUUGUAUUUAAUUUUGUUGUAUCUGAAAAUGCAUUUAUGUAUGUGUGCAGUUAUGAGGUCAGGUAGAGAGGGAGAAAGAGACUACUGUCUGUUGUAUUGUUUCCCAGUUUAGUGUAGAUGUCAGGCUUGAUGAUAAAAAAUGAGAAGAUGGAAAGGAGAUAACUAUUUAUUGACCUUACUGGUGCACUUAACCUCUCACACUGGAAUUUUUUUUUUGGUUUAUAAAAACCUCUUGAUAUAAAUAAAUAAAUAAAUUAAUUAAUUAAUUAAUUUGUGACUUAAAUGAAAAUAUCUCAUAUUUUAUGAACAAAUGUGGCAGUGAAUAUGUACUAUAUAUUAGUUAAUGUUAACAUACCUUAGUUUUAAGAUCCGUAGAAGACUCCAUUUGACCUUUACAAUGUGGAUGUUUUUCCUUACCACAGGUGGAAAUUGAUUUUUACUUCUCUGCAGCUAAGUAUGUGGCAGUCUUGGCCACAUGGUGACUCAGCAGAGGAGCCUAUGUACUGGCUGUCCUGAUGCUCUUCCUGAUUCAACUGAUUCUCUACACUUGAUCUUAGCCAAAAGGCCGAGAAGCAAUGAUUCAACUGAUUCUCAAAAGGACACCGCUGCAGGAAUAAACCCACUUCUAAAUAUGGUACACUUGGAAAGUUGUCCAGCUCGCAAUGUCAGAGUCACAGACUUCAUGCACACUCAUCUCAAGUCAAUGUUAUCUAACACAUUUCCACUAAUUAUUGGAUGACACUAGCAAGAAACUCUGAUAUUUUUCACCUAACCUUUGCUAAUUUAAAUGUGGCCAGCCCACCCUCAUACUGCAUUGUGAUGGGGAUAUAAAAGCCAAUGAAAGAUAUCAUUAAUUGUUAACAAUAGUCAUCACUGACAACUUCCUGUUGAAUGUCACUGUUACUCCUGCUACUGCUACUACCACUACCAUUUAUGAAGCUGCCAUUAUUACUAACUCAAAGCUUUCACAGAUACAGAAACAGGUGUAUUUUUUGUUUUGUUUUGUUUUUUGUUUUUGUUUGAGAGAGAGUCUUACUCUGUCGGCCAGGCUGGAGUGCAGUGGCACAAUCUCGGUUCACUGCAACGUCCGCCUCCCGGGUUCAAGCAAUUCUUGUGCCUCAGCCUCCCGAGUAGCUGGGAUUACAGGCAUGUGCCACCAUGCCUGGCUAAUUUUUGUAUUUUUAGUAGAGACGGGGUUUUACCAUGUUGGCCAGGCUGGUCUCAAACUCCUGACUUCAGGUAAUCCACCUGCCUAGGCCUCCCAAAGUGCUGGGAUUACAGGCAUGAGCCACCGUGCCUGGCCAGAAACAGGUGUAUCUUUAAAGCAUAACUUCCUCUCUGCAUCUUGCUUCCCCUCUUUCUGUCCCUUCUCCUCUCCCACCCCCACAGUUUUGGCUUCACUUUGCUCAGGCUGUGACAACUGUCUUUAAGGGAGCUAACUUUUAUCUGACUGUAAAGCCAAGCAAACUAAUCUUGCAAAACUGUUCUGCCACAUAGGUUGGUCUCUUCCUGUUUGGAAUUCAUCUAUAUAUUAGCAACUUGGAAAGCCUUUGAGCUGAGCUAGUGCGCAAAGCUGCACCUUAGACUGUGGUUUACAGUGCUGCUUAAUUGUCACAACGGUGUCACUCACCUUGUCCUCACCUAACCUGCAAGGUAGACAUUUAGGCUGCUUUCUUCAUCAGUGUAAGGUGAAAUAGCAGAUUGGUGUGUAAAAAGUGUGGCUUGGAGUGUGGUGGUAUGAACUGUGGGAUUAUUUACUAUAGGGUCUCAUUGCAAAUCCUUUAGAACACUUGCCUCUUACACCUUUUGUCUGUCUGCUCUUAAAUAUUUUCUGUCCUUCCAGCAUGCUAUCUCUACCUAACAGAAGGGGUCAUAUCUGUCUCAACUAAAAGUCAUUCCAUUUGGGUCAUUCGUCUGGAGGCUGAGACAGUGGAAGAGUCAAACUUGCCCUGAGCUUCACUCAGCCAGUACCUGUCUCCUCUGCCCACUGUCCAGCAACUUACCCUGACCCAUCCUUUAAGGAACUUGCCAAGAGAGAGCAGAAUACUCUUUCUUUCUCUCUCUCUCUCUCUUUUUUUGUCUUUCAUUUAUUCUUUGGAUAUAAACUGCAGACCUACUGGUUGUAAAGCACUGAGUUUCACAGUGAGGGCAACAAAAGAAUAGAACACCUGGUUCCUAUUCUGAGAGGGUCACCUCUGUUCACACAACUUCUGCCCAUCUGACUCAAUCUACUAGGUAAGCGGCAGAGGGGCUUCCUUCCCCCCAAAACCUCUACUGAAUUAUAAAAGAUGGGGAAAUUGGAAUUUAGCAUUUUCAAAACCCCACCUCUUCUUGCAGAUUUACUUUCUUUCACUUUCCCAAGCAGACUUCAUGUGGCAACCAAACUAUACUGUCAAGUACCCUCUGAACCCGCCUGCCCUUCCUGCCUGCAUGCGUCAUGGAAGAGCUGCCUUUGCCCCAGGACACUGCUCUGGCCCCAUUACCAUCACCAUCACCAAGGAAAAUACAUCCCUUAUAUUUCAAAGCCCUAGUUCAAGCAUGUCUUCCUUUCAGGCAGAUAAAAUUAUUUUAUGCUUAAAGAUGCAGAAAAAAUGACACACACACACACACACACACACACACUCAUAAAACAACUUUAGAGUCUAUAAGAUCUCAUUCUGCACUUGGGUGCUUACUAAAAAUAUCUCACUGGAAGAAUAACUAGCCUUAGUUUCCACAUCUGCAAAAUGGAGAUAACAAUACUAUAAAAUGAUUAUGGCUUUUUGAUGAUGUAGUUUGCAUAAAUGGCCUAGCCAAGUACCCGGCACCCGUAGGUACUCUACAAAUGCUAGUCAGCAUCCCUUCUUGGAAAUCUCCACGAUUAAAUGAUAUCUUAUGCAGCUGUUUGCAGCUUAUCUCCUGUUAGACUCCAAGCUGCUUAAGAAUAGUGACUAUGGGCUUAUUCACAUGGGGUUCCCUGCAGCCUUGCUUAGUGCUUUGUACCUAACAGAUGCUAAGGCAUAUUGGAUACAACAGUUUAUUACUGUAAAAAUACAAAUGACCAUAGGUCUGGAAAGAGCCAGGCUCAGCAGGGUACAAAGCAGGCCUGGGGGUACAAAGCCCAGGCUCUUUAGAACCUUUGCCUUAGCUCAGCAAGGUUCUCAAGGGUGGAGUAAUUGCAGAGAGAAAAUGGCAGGCUCCAUGUGCAGGCUUAUGUGAUUUAGGGCCACAGACUGACCCUUCCUGGGGUCACCCACAAGAUGAAUCAGGAAAAGAGAGAACAGAGAUGGGGCCAGCUGCUCCCAGAUCCUUAGACAUUCUAAAUAAGGGGGAGAGACUCAGUCUUUUCUGAUUAAUCUUUGAUGAUUUAUUCUUUGGACAUCAUUUAAAAGGAGCAUUUUAAAGUAAAUUAAUUGAACUCUCAUGACCUUUUACCCUACUAAUAUCAUCAAAAGAAACUAGAUCUUGAAUUUUAAAAAGCGCUUGAUUUAUUUUCUGUGACUUACAAACUACUGAAGAACAUCAGUUUUUAUUUUUUGAAAUUAUGAAAACUCCAGCUUUUAAAGCAAGAAGUCAAAACAGCUCAGUUUUGAAACAUCCCAAUUUUAGCAAAUGAGUAUUGAGUGAAAGGUGUCAUAGACAUUGGUAAAAGAUAAAUAUGUAAUUUAAUACACAGAAAACUGGGUAAGUAUUGUCUUCAAAAAGCCAAUUCCCCUUCUACCACACUGACCCUGAUGGUAUUCUUGAGUCCAAAUGACUUGGGUAAAUUCUGAUUAGUAUAAACCAGUUUUUUUUUUUUUUAAUUAUUUUACUUUAAGCUCUGGGAUAUAUGUCCAGAACAUGCAGGUUUGGUACUUAGGUAUAUAUGUGCCAUGGUGGUUUGCCACACCUUAUCAACCUGUCAUUUAGGUUUUAAGUCCCACAUGCAUUAGGUAUUUGUCUUAACGCUCUCCCUCCCCUUGCUCCCAACCCCCUGACAGGUCCCAGUGUGUGAUGUUCCCCUCCCUGUGUCCAUGUGAUCUCAUUGUUCAACUCCCACUUAUGAGUGAGAACAUGUGGUGCUUGGUUUUGUGUUCCUGUGUUAGUUUGCUGAGAAUGAUGGUUUCCAGCUUCAUCCAUGUCCCUGCAAAGGACAUGAACUCAUUCUUUUUUAUGGCUGCAUAGUAUUCCAUGGUGUGUAUGUGCCACAUUUUCUUUACCCAGUCUAUCAUUGCUUGGCAUUUGGGUUGGUCCCAAGUUUUUGCUAUUGUAAAUAGUCCUGCAAUAAACAUACGUGUGCAUGUGUCUUUAUAGUAGAAUUUAUAAUCCUUUGGUAUAUACCCAAUAAUGGGAUUGCUGGGUCAAAUGGUAUUUCUAAACCAGUGUUUUUUUGUUUGUUUGUUUGUUUUGUUUUUUUUAAAGUGCAGGAAGCAGUUUAUUAAUUAAUUCUAAAAUCAAUUUAGUACUUUGAAUCAGAAUUUUUUAAAUUAAUUGAUAGUAUAAAGAAUAAAAUAGAAUGGAAAAUAUCUGGAGGUACUGCACAUAAGGAUUCCAAUUUCUAUUUUCAGAACUUUCAUUUGUAAUUUAUGUACGCAUCUAACGUGUAUUUACGUGUAUACUGAGUUAGGGUGUACAACUUUUCCCUGAGGCUGUAUCUCAAAAACUUUGGAAGCUGAAGAAUUUGUCCAAAUCUAUGUUCCUUUUUGUUUGUAAAUCACCUGAUGAUGGUGAUAUAGCUGUGGCCAACGAAAUGUCAAGGGAAGUCUGCUGGGGAAGGUAGACGUAGGAUAGGAGUAUGGGAAAAAAUUAUUCACUCAAAAGCAUGAUGCACAGAGGAGCUAUGAUCUUUUCUUGUUUUCCUCACUGGAUGUUGUCAUGUCUGUAUGUACUUCCUGGAACUGUGGCACCAUCUUACAACCAUGAAAGGAGCUCACAUGAAAUCAUGUUGAACAUAGCAGAGCGGGAAGAUGGAAGGAAUCCGAGAUCUAUGUUUGAUGUUAAGCGAUGAUGUUAAAAACUUAAAAAACUCCAGAACUCUCUUACCCCUGGGCUUGUUAUAAUAAAAAGAUAAUAAUCCUCUUAGUGUUUAAGGCA